rnacentral:rRNA from 1 species
GAUGAACGCUGGCGGCGUGCUUAACACAUGCAAGUCGAACGGAAAGGCCCAAGCUUGCUUGGGUACUCGAGUGGCGAACGGGUGAGUAACACGUGGGUGAUCUGCCCUGCACUUCGGGAUAAGCCUGGGAAACUGGGUCUAAUACCGGAUAGGACCACCUUUUGGAUGGUGUGGUGGAAAGUUUUUCGGUGUGGGAUGAGCUCGCGGCCUAUCAGCUUGUUGGUGGGGUAAUGGCCUACCAAGGCGUCGACGGGUAGCCGGCCUGGGAGGGGGUACGGCCAAAAUGGGAAUGGGAUACCGCCCAGACUCCUACGGGAGGGAAGAGGGGGGGAUAAUGGAAAAUGGGGGGGAGCCUGAAGCAGCGACGGCGGGUUGGGGGUGAAGGGCUUCGGGUUUGAAACCCCUUUUGCUAGGGAAGAAGCGGUAUGUGACGGUACUGGGUGAAGAAGCACCGGCUAACUACGUG